ensembl:lncRNA
AUCUGUUAAUCCCAAACUCCUAAUUUAUCCCCCCUCCCAACUUUGUCCUUUAGUAACCAUAGGUUUUCUUUUAUGUCUGUGUGUCUCCAACUUUCAUUUUUUUCAGUUCAGUUCAGUUCAGUCACUCAGUCGUGUCCAACUCUUUGAGACCCCAUGGACUGCAGCACGCCAGGCCUCCCUGUCCAUCACCAACUCCCAGAGCCUGCUCAAACUCAUGUCCAUUGAGCUGGUGAUGCCAUCCAACCAUCUCAUCUGUCGUCCCCUUCUCCUGCCUUCAGUCUUUCCCAGCAUCAUGGUCUUUUCUGGUCAGCACGAGUUUUGCAAUGGGUAACAGGAAUCCUGACGGACAGUGGUUUAAACCAUUAAGGAGAUUUUCAUUUUACUUCAUGAAAAGCCCGUCAGCUGGCAGUCCCUGCUUUAGUUUGGAAGCUUACCAGCAUCAUCCAGGAUCCAGGGACUUUCCACCCUGUUUUUCCACUUGGCCCUCAGGGUCAGGGUCAUAAGACGGUUUCUACCAAGGAGGCGGAGGCGAGCAUCGCAGCCCCUCCCAGCCUGUCACGAGAAGGAAGGUGGCGUGGGGUGGGGGUGGAGAGGGGAAACGGACACUUUUUCUCCUCAGACACGUCUCUCUUGUCAGAAGGCAAAGUCUUUCUCAGAAGCCCCAGAAGACAUCCUCUGGUCCUGGCCAGAACUGGUCAACUGGCCACGUCUGCCUGCGAGAAGACCGGGUGUCACUGUUUUAUAAAGACCACAGUGCCCACAACUGACGGGGUUCUUAGCAGGGGCACCUGCUCCUCUGGAGGUACUGGAAACAGAGAAGGGGCACUUUUGGUCGUCACAGAAAAAAAAAGAGGUGCUACUGGCAUGUUGUGGAUUAGUUUAAGGAUGCUAAAUGUUCUAAAAUGCACAGAACCCUUCUACACACAAAACAAGAUUUGUCUUACUCAAAAUACCAAGAGCAGUGCUAUUAAGAAACACUGGGCUCAAACCAACGAUCAUUCACCCCAUGGGCUGAAGGUAUCACGACUCGAACACAAUCUGGGGGCCAAGAGCAAGAAGGAGAACACGGCUCCCAGCAGAGGUGCCCUGGUACCCCGGUGGGGGUCGGGAGGAGGGUGCGUAAUCGUGCUGGCACGUUGAGUCCUUUUCAGAAAGUACUGUUACUUACAACGAAUGGAGAGCAAGACAGGGAAAUCAACUCCAAGGGCUGCCUUUAUUUUUCCUAAUGAAGAGAUUUCCCCGUGAUUGGACAAGCCUGUUUCCAGGAACAAGUGAGUCUGAGUUCCCCCCGCCUCUACUAUCUCUGCUCCUUGCUCCCACCAAGGAUUGACAAUGACUAAAACCCAACUGUAUAGCCACUAUUUCAAAGAUAAACAUCUCCUUUGAAGACUGUGUACCCAGUUCAAUAGUGGCAGGUAUCUAAUAAAUAUUUCUUGGGUAUAUGACAAAAUAAAGUGAAAGUGUUAGUCGCUCAGUCAUGUCCAAUUCUUUGCGACCCUGUGGACUGUAGCCCACCAGGCCCGUCUGUCCAUGAAAUUCUCCAGCAAGGAUACUGGAGUGGGUUGCCAUUUCUUUCUGCAGGGGAUCUUCCCAACCCAGGGAUCAGAACCUGGACCUCCUGUAUUGCAGGCAGAUUCUUUACCAUCUAAGCCACUAGGGAAGCCCUAUAUGACAAAUAUGUUGAUUCAAAUCAAUACAAGGAAGCAAAUCCCGGAAAAACAUUCCACAUUAUGUUCAAGGAGAUAGAUACGGUGAAAUAGAAUUUGAAAAAUUGUACUAGUAAAGUAAAGUAAUGCUCAAAAUUCUCCAAGCCAGGCUUCAGCAAUAUGUGAACCGUGAACUUCCUGAUGUUCAAGCUGGUUUUAGAAAAGGCAGAGGAACCAGAGAACAAAUUGCCAACAUCCACUGGGUCAUGGAAAAAGCAAGAGAGUUCCAGAAAAACAUCUAUUUCUGCUUCAUUGACUAUGCCAAAGCCUUUGACUGUGUGGAUCACAAUAAACUGUGGAAAAUUCUGAAAGAGAUGGGAAUACCAGAGCACCUGACCUGCCUCUUGAGAAAUCUGUAUGCAGGUCAGGAAGCAACAGUUAGAACUGGACAUGGAACAACAGACUGGUUCCAAAUAGGAAAAGGAGUACGUCAAGGCUGUAUGUUGUCACCCUGCUUAUUUAACUUCUAUGCAGAGUACAUCAUGAGAAAUGCUGUACUGGAA